rnacentral:lncRNA from 1 species
GUCUUACGCUCCCUUCUCCCCAGUUACCUUGUCUGUUAUUUUUAAAUCCUGCUGAAGUAUAUACAACUCUACAAGCGGGUUCUCAAAUCCUUUUUUUGGAACAAGACUGAAGGAGUACUGCAUAAAUAAUCAUAUUGGAAUUUUCAGGAUAUUUCAAUGGUUUGUGGUGUCCAAAUAUGUGAAAUUGAGGCUGUUCCAGUAAAUCUGGAAUGAAUUGACACUCUAUGCACAGAGUACGGACCUGUGUGUACAGUAUGCAUAUGUACGCACACACACGCACACAUGAAUUCUUUUCUUGGUCCAGACAGUGGCACUGGCAGUAAAACUAUCAAUUCCAAACCGAAAGAGCCCACUCAGCACUGGCCUGGCUGCCCAGGAUCCUGCAGGGCAGAAGUUGGGGAACAGAUGGUGGUCUGAAUGGUGACCUUGGAUGGCUGGAGGCCGGCGCCUGUGAACAAGUGAUGAUGCUGCUGGCAAGUCUGGAACCAGGCUGCGAAGCGGCCUGUGCUUCCCCAUCAGAGAUCUUUGGUCCAAGCUCUUCUGCUGGUGAUUUCCUGGGUCCUGACUUGCAUUUUCUCCCCUCAUCCCCGCUCGUGGGGAGCCCUGAGCCAGCUGCCAAGGACCCCGGCCAAGCCUUCGGGUUCCAGUUCCUGAAGGGUGGAGAGGGUCACAAACGGUCACAUUUGUGGCAUCUUCCUUGUACUGGAAGAAAGGACCACCCUUAUCUCGGAGGAAAAGGGAUGCCAAGAAGGAUCUGAACAAGCAGGGCUUGCUAGGUCUCCCCCUGGUGGAGCACUCACCUCGUCUUCCUGCCCUCUGGUGUUCCCACACGGCAAACCCAGCAUCGAAAUCCUCAGGCCUGUUUCUUCGGGUCUUCAUUUCUCUAUGAAGGCUCCUGUGUCGUGUAAUAAAUUAUUAAUAAAUGUGCAUAGUUUUCUUCUGUUAGUCUGUCUUUGUUCAGUUUAGUUUUCAGACUCCGCUGGAGACCCU